rnacentral:lncRNA from 1 species
GAGCAAAGUAACACUAGAAAUAAACGGAUGAGGUAUGUUUGAAACAACUUCUGAGGUGGAUAUGAAGGAUAAAAAGUGUCUCAAGUGCGUUGGCCUUUUCUCCGUAAAAGAGAGAGCAACUGAAAUGAAUCUUUGUUGGAGCAAGAAUUGUAACAAACAAAGAAACAAAGAUUCAACUGUGACCAGUUAGCAUCUUUUCAGGUAACAAGAUUCUGAUU